rnacentral:rRNA from 1 species
UGGGGAAUAUUGCACAAUGGGCGCAAGCCUGAUGCAGCGACGCCGCGUGAGGGAUGAAGGCCUUCGGGUUGUAAACCUCUUUCGUCAGGGAACAAGGCACUGUCUUUUUGGUGGUGUUGAGGGUACCUGGAUAAGAAGCGCCGGCUAACUACGUGCCAGCAGCCGCGGUAAUACGUAGGGCGCAAGCGUUGUCCGGAAUUAUUGGGCGUAAAGAGCUCGUAGGCGGCUGGUCGCGUCUGUCGUGAAAACUUCCGGCUCAACCGGGGGCUUGCGGUGGGUACGGGCCGGCUAGAGUGCGGUAGGGGUAACUGGAACUCCUGGUGUAGCGGUGGAAUGCGCAGAUAUCAGGAAGAACACCGAUGGCGAAGGCAGGUUACUGGGCCGUUACUGACGCUGAGGAGCGAAAGCGUGGGGAGCGAACAGGAUUAGAUACCCUGGUAGUCCACGCCGUAAACGUUGGGCACUAGGUGUGAGGCUCCUUUCCGGGGGUUUUGCGCCGUAGCUAACGCAUUAAGUGCCCCGCCUGGGGGAGUACGGCCGCAAGGCUA